rnacentral:rRNA from 1 species
UCGAGAAUCAUUCACAAUGGGGGAAACCCUGAUGGUGCGACGCCGCGUGGGGGAAUGAAGGUCUUCGGAUUGUAAACCCCUGUCAUGUGGGAGCAAAUUAAAAAGAUAGUACCACAAGAGGAAGAGACGGCUAACUCUGUGCCAGCAGCCGCGGUAAUACAGAGGUCUCAAGCGUUGUUCGGAAUCACUGGGCGUAAAGCGUGCGUAGGCGGUUUCAUAAGUCGUGUGUGAAAGGCGGGGGCUCAACCCCCGGACUGCACAUGAUACUGCGAGACUAGAGUAAUGGAGGGGGAACCGGAAUUCUCGGUGUAGCAGUGAAAUGCGUAGAUAUCGAGAGGAACACUCGUGGCGAAGGCGGGUUCCUGGACCUUAACUGACGCUGAGGCACGAAGGCCAGGGGAGCGAAAGGG